rnacentral:rRNA from 1 species
GGGUUGUGAGGUUAAGCGACUAAGCGUACACGGUGGAUGCCCUGGCAGUCAGAGGCGAUGAAGGACGUGCUAAUCUGCGAAAAGCGUCGGUAAGGUGAUAUGAACCGUUAUAGCCGGCGAUGUCCGAAUGGGGAAACCCAGUGCAAUUCGUUGCACUAUCGUUAACUGAAUACAUAGGUUAACGAGGCGAACCGGGGGAACUGAAACAUCUAAGUACCCCGAGGAAAAGAAAUCAACCGAGAUUCCCCCAGUAGCGGCGAGCGAACGGGGAGCAGCCCAGAGUCUGAAUCAGCUUGUGUGUUAGUGGAACGAUCUGGAAAGUCCGACGGUACAGGGUGAUAGUCCCGUACACCAAAAUGCACAGGCUGUGAACUCGAAGAGUAGGGCGGGACACGUGGUAUCCUGUCUGAAUAUGGGGGGACCAUCCUCCAAGGCUAAAUACUCCUGACUGACCGAUAGUGAACCAGUACCGUGAGGGAAAGGCGAAAAGAACCCCGGCGAGGGGAGUGAAAAAGAACCUGAAACCGUGUACGUACAAGCAGUGGGAGCACCUUCGGGUGUGACUGCGUACCUUUUGUAUAAUGGGUCAGCGACUUAUAUUCUGUAGCAAGGUUAACCGUAUAGGGGAGCCGCAGGGAAACCGAGUCUUAACUGGGCGUUAAGUUGCAGGGUAUAGACCCGAAACCCGGUGAUCUAGCCAUGGGCAGGUUGAAGGUUGGGUAACACUAACUGGAGGACCGAACCGACUAAUGUUGAAAAAUUAGCGGAUGACUUGUGGCUGGGGGUGAAAGGCCAAUCAAACCGGGAGAUAGCUGGUUCUCCCCGAAAGCUAUUUAGGUAGCGCCUCGUGAACUCAUCUUCGGGGGUAGAGCACUGUUUCGGCUAGGGGGUCAUCCCGACUUACCAACCCGAUGCAAACUACGAAUACCGAAGAAUGUUAUCACGGGAGACACACGGCGGGUGCUAACGUCCGUCGUGAAGAGGGAAACAACCCAGACCGCCAGCUAAGGUCCCAAAGUCAUGGUUAAGUGGGAAACGAUGUGGGAAGGCACAGACAGCCAGGAUGUUGGCUUAGAAGCAGCCAUCAUUUAAAGAAAGCGUAAUAGCUCACUGGUCGAGUCGGCCUGCGCGGAAGAUGUAACGGGGCUAAACCAUGCACCGAAGCUGCGGCAGCGACACUAUGUGUUGUUGGGUAGGGGAGCGUUCUGUAAGCCUGCGAAGGUGUGCUGUGAGGCAUGCUGGAGGUAUCAGAAGUGCGAAUGCUGACAUAAGUAACGAUAAAGCGGGUGAAAAGCCCGCUCGCCGGAAGACCAAGGGUUCCUGUCCAACGUUAAUCGGGGCAGGGUGAGUCGACCCCUAAGGCGAGGCCGAAAGGCGUAGUCGAUGGGAAACAGGUUAAUAUUCCUGUACUUGGUGUUACUGCGAAGGGGGGACGGAGAAGGCUAUGUUAGCCGGGCGACGGUUGUCCCGGUUUAAGCAUGUAGGCUGGUUGUCCAGGCAAAUCCGGAUAAUCAAGGCUGAGGUGUGAUGACGAGGUACUACGGUGCUGAAGUAACAAAUGCCCUGCUUCCAGGAAAAGCCUCUAAGCAUCAGGUAACAUCAAAUCGUACCCCAAACCGACACAGGUGGUCAGGUAGAGAAUACCAAGGCGCUUGAGAGAACUCGGGUGAAGGAACUAGGCAAAAUGGUGCCGUAACUUCGGGAGAAGGCACGCUGGUGUGUAGGUGAAGUCCCUGCGGAUGGAGCUGAGACCAGUCGAAGAUACCAGCUGGCUGCAACUGUUUAUUAAAAACACAGCACUGUGCAAACACGAAAGUGGACGUAUACGGUGUGACGCCUGCCCGGUGCCGGAAGGUUAAUUGAUGGGGUUAUCCGUAAGGAGAAGCUCUUGAUCGAAGCCCCGGUAAACGGCGGCCGUAACUAUAACGGUCCUAAGGUAGCGAAAUUCCUUGUCGGGUAAGUUCCGACCUGCACGAAUGGCGUAAUGAUGGCCAGGCUGUCUCCACCCGAGACUCAGUGAAAUUGAACUCGCUGUGAAGAUGCAGUGUACCCGCGGCAAGACGGAAAGACCCCGUGAACCUUUACUAUAGCUUGACACUGAACAUUGAGCCUUGAUGUGUAGGAUAGGUGGGAGGCUUUGAAGCGUGGACGCCAGUCUGCGUGGAGCCAACCUUGAAAUACCACCCUUUAAUGUUUGAUGUUCUAACGUUGGCCCCUUACCGGGGUUGCGGACAGUGUCUGGUGGGUAGUUUGACUGGGGCGGUCUCCUCCCAAAGCGUAACGGAGGAGCACGAAGGUUAGCUAAUCCUGGUCGGACAUCAGGAGGUUAGUGCAAUGGCAUAAGCUAGCUUGACUGCGAGCGUGACGGCGCGAGCAGGUGCGAAAGCAGGUCAUAGUGAUCCGGUGGUUCUGAAUGGAAGGGCCAUCGCUCAACGGAUAAAAGGUACUCCGGGGAUAACAGGCUGAUACCGCCCAAGAGUUCAUAUCGACGGCGGUGUUUGGCACCUCGAUGUCGGCUCAUCACAUCCUGGGGCUGAAGUAGGUCCCAAGGGUAUGGCUGUUCGCCAUUUAAAGUGGUACGCGAGCUGGGUUUAGAACGUCGUGAGACAGUUCGGUCCCUAUCUGCCGUGGGCGCUGGAGAAUUGAGGGGGGCUGCUCCUAGUACGAGAGGACCGGAGUGGACGCAUCACUGGUGUUCGGGUUGUCAUGCCAAUGGCACUGCCCGGUAGCUAAAUGCGGAAGAGAUAAGUGCUGAAAGCAUCUAAGCACGAAACUUGCCCCGAGAUGAGUUCUCCCUGAGACUUUAAGUCUCCUGAAGGAACGUUAAAGACGAUGACGUUGAUAGGCCGGGUGUGUAAGCGCAGCGAUGCGUUGAGCUAACCGGUACUAAUGAACCGUGAGGCUUAACCUUACAACGCCGAAG